CUACGGGUUGCUGCAGUGGGGAAUAUUGGACAAUGGGGGCAACCCUGAUCCAGCAAUGCCGCGUGAGUGAAGACGGCCUUAGGGUUGUAAAACUCUUUCGCUAGGGAAGAUAAUGACUGUACCUAGUAAAGAAGUCCCGGCUAACUCCGUGCCAGCAGCCGCGGUAAUACGGAGGGGACUAGCGUUGUUCGGAAUUACUGGGCGUAAAGAGUUCGUAGGCGGACUGACAAGUUAGAGGUGAAAUCCCAGGGCUCAACCCUGGAACUGCCUUUAAAACUGUCAGUCUAGAGACCGGAAGAGGUUAGGGGAAUACCUAGUGUAGAGGUGAAAUGCGUAGAUAUUAGGUGGAACACCAGUGGCGAAGGCGCCUAACUGGUCCGGUACUGACGCUGAGGAACGAAAGCGUGGGGAGCAAACAGGAUUAGAUACCCCGGUAGUC
rnacentral:rRNA from 1 species